CCGCCCCUCAACCAACCCCCAGGCGGCAAGGCCCUCUCCACGCGCGCUCUCCAGCCUGGCGGGGCCCUGGAAGCCGGGACACGCGGAGGCCGGGAGGGUCAUCGGCGUUUAAGGCAGCCUCCCACACCAAGUGCACCGCCCGGAUCCCCUCUGCACGAGGGCUUUCUGCUUAUUGCUCUUUUCCCCAGCAGCCAGAAUCGUCACCGUAGCGCGGGAAGGGGCCUCGCGGGCCGUCUGCAGCAGGUGCGGCCGGGAGCCGCAGGCCCGCGCGGAUUCCUGCGGAGCUGUAUUUACUUUACAUCCAUGUGAACUGCUGUCAUCACUACUGUGUCCAAGCCCAGAGGAUGAACUGGAAAAGAAGAGAGGGGGAAAAUAAUAAAAAGAGGAAAUUGGUUUUCACAACACACUCAAAGCCUGAGUAACAGAGGAGAACUUUAAUUAUCUCCAGUCACAAAGAGAGACAGGAAAUUUGGACUUUUAAUUAGCCAUUUGGAGUGCAGUUGGGUAUUUUUUUAGCUAGAUAAUUUAAACGCGAAUAAUUCAAGUCUGACUAAAUGAAAGUCACAUAAUCAGAAUGCAAAUAAUUGAAUUUCUACUGCAUUCAUUAAUUCAGUGUGGAGGUGUGUGUGAAGACUACUAUGAUGAGCUGUCACAGCUCAAUAAAAUCUCAGUCAAUUAAUUUUUUCAUUAUCUUAGUAUUAUAUCAACAAAAAAGUGAAGUGUGUAUAUAUAUCUAUACACGUGCAUAUGUGCAUACUAUGUAUUAUAUAAAUACAUAUACAUUAAAUCAAAAUGCAAGGAAAUACCUUUCUGAAUCAUAA